ensembl:lncRNA SNHG1 small nucleolar RNA host gene 1
CUUCGUGGUCUUUAUAGCUGUUACUCUUUUGUACUUUGUCUUUUUCUUUUAUUUUCUUUUGAGCGAUUGUGCGAACAUAGCAUAGCACGCACUAUGCCUUCUGUGUUGUAGCUGCCUGGCCAGGGCGACUGGCGGAUAAGGUCUUGUGCGUGGCCUCGAGGCUUAAAAGUAGCAGUGGGGCUUUGUGAAGGACAAAAUGGCGAUGGCGGGCCGUGUAGGUCCCCCUUCCUAUGAUGAGGACCUUUUCACAGACCUGUACUGAGCUCCGUGAGGAUAAAUAACUCUGAGGAGAUGGGCCCUGCAAGCCUCUUGCUUAGCCGUCUGUUCAGAAAAUAGCGUUUUCGAAAUGCCCUGAGUUGACCUAAUGUCUUAUUGGGCUCCUGUCUGCAGGAUUUACGCGCACGUUGGAACCGAAGAGAGCUCUGUUGUUGCAAUGUUCAGCCCACAAGAGCUUACUGGUGAAGGAAUGGGACAAGACCCAUCUUUAUGCAAAGCCAGCGUUACAGUAAUGUUCCAGGUAGGUGUACAUGGUUUAUGCUCUUACAGAGGAGACCUUGUAGAUAACCACUCCAUGAUGAACACAAAAUGACAAGCAUAUGGCUGAACUUUCAAGUGAUGUCAUCUUACUACUGAGAAGUGAGAGAGAGGUCUUAAGGGGUCUUUGAAUGACUAUUUUUAGGUACAUAAAAUGCUUUCCUCUGUUGUCUACAGCAUCUCAUAAUCUAUCCUGGGGAAUUCAGCUGCCUCCCAGGGUGAAUACAGGUAAUUAUCCAAAUUGGUGUAUGUCAUCUUUGUAAAUGUUCAAGAAAACAAGUGGCCGGCGGAACAAUGUUUUUUGGCGCCUUCCAUCUUGUUCCUCUUGAAAUGAUUUUCUGGGGAGGGAGAUCGCAACCCGGUACUACAGUUCUUGUAAGGGUGUGCUGUUACCCUCAUCCAUAUAUCGAUCACGUUACUGUCAGAUGAUUUGAAUUGAUAAGCUGAUGUUCUGUGAGGUACAAAAGUUAAUAGCAUGUUAGAGUUCUGAUGGCAGUUGUUGUUUAUGAAUAAGCUUCAUUCCAUCCUAAUACCUUAAAAUAACUAAUUUGCUUUCCUUUCCAGGUAUUCCUGAUGACAGUCUGCCUCUAUCUUACAGUAAGUUGUUUUUCGAAUUCUAUGGGCCUAUUAUCUAAUAGAUAACUUAGCCAUUUUGAUAUUUGUUACCAAAGCCUGCUUAACCCAUAAAGUUUUCUGGUUCCUCUUGUUCUCUGUAGUGAUGUUUCUAGAUAGAUGCCCACUGAUAUAUGCCCCUUUUUUCUCAGAUAGAUGCCCACUGAUCUGCCCAGGGUCAGACGAAUGCUUGUCAGUUGUAGCUUUCCAGGAUUCUGCUCCAAUGAGGAGGAAACAUCCUGCCUUACCCCUGUUUUAGCCUGGGAACCAGUAAUUGUGAACUCACCAGGGUUAACAUGAAGAGGGCAUGAGAGCUUAUUCCAUAAGGAAUUGUCUGAGACAUUUGGUUACCUUUUCUUAGUUUGUCCAUUAGCAACCGUAACUAAAAUAGUUUUGGCUGUUUGGGAUAAUUAGCUAAUUGAAUGAUUUUUUGAUUCAGGAGCAGCUUGUUGCUAUAUACCAUUGAAAAGCCUUCAGAGCUGAGAGGUUAGUUGAUAUUUUUUGUUCCUUACAGCUUAUGCCACCAAGUAGGCAGUUUCUAUGAUGAAUCAAACUAGCUCACUAUGACCGACAGUGAAAAUACAUGAACACCUGAGAAACUGGAGAACGCAGGGAGUGGGGGGUAACCAUGUCUGAGGAAUCUUUCACCCACAGCUUUGUUUUUCUCUAGGUACUACUAACCAAUAACCUGCUUGGCUCAAAGGGCCAGCACCUUCUCUCUAAAGCCCAAGAGGAGUUUGAGGUAAAUGGCUUUGCAAUAGUUACCAUCAAUGGCUGCUAUAUAAAAUUUUCUGUGAUUUUUGUGUGUGAUAGCACUGUGGUCUGGGUGAAUGUACACAGACAUAACUGGCUUAACCCAAAGUCUUUGAUCUCCUGAACCACCAGUGAUGAAUUGCUGCUCACCAGUGAUGAGUUGAAUACCGCCCCAGUCUGAUCAAUGUGUGACUGAAAGGUAUUUUCUGAGCUGUGAGCCUGCCUUCCAGUGACAUGUUCUAAAAAUUGCAAGUUAUUUGAGGAGGCUUUACAGCCAAUAGGAAGUUCUUGGGCUAAGUAGUGUUUCCUAUAAAAUGUGCCCUGAAACUUCUUUCUGCCAAGCAAUAGAUACAAUUGAGAGAUUGUAAAAUGUGACAUAGAAUGAAAGUCUCUCAAGACUACAUUUUUCUUUCUUGAUUUUGCAGGAAAACUAGGUGUCUGUGUUCACUCCAGGCUGAAGUUACAGGUGAGUAAACCUAAAUGUAAGGUGGACUAUGCUAAAAAUUCCCAAUGAAGAAACUUUCACAUGUCUUACUCUCUGUCCUAGUCCCAGAGCCUGUAAAGGUGAACCCACUGGGACUGGCUGGGGGAGAAGAGGAAGAUUUGUUCCAGAAGGAACUGUCUGAGGGAUGAUAAAGAUUUCUAUACAGAGAAAGGGAGUAAUCAUCACUUGUUGAAAACAUUGGUUUUAUUUUUUCCAGGUCUGAGCAAAUAAGGUGUAUAAAAAAUGGUAGGUAUCUGUUUAAAUAUUUAACUGAUUUUAUAAUAGCAACCUUUUGCUCCUAGGUUACAUAGUGUUAAAUAUUGUGUUCAUUUGUAUUUUCCAAUCCAAUAAGAACUUUUUUUUUUACCUCUGCAGGAAUCUGUCUUGGAGGACAUCAGAAGGUGAAUUUUCCAAGUUCUUGGACAACCUAGCUGUUGAAAAGCUUUCUGGGUUUGGGGGGUAUUUCAGAUGUACCUUAAAGUGUUAGCAGACACAGAUUAAGACACUGGGAGCCAAUGAAACAGCAGUUGAGGGUUUGCUGUGUAUCACAUUUCUGUAUUUUAUCACCCCCUUCCUGCAACAUUAUUUAUCUGGAAUCUACCUGCCCUUUUGUUUUUUAGAUACAAGGGCUUGGUUUUGUUACCCAGGCUGGUUUCAAGGCCAUAGCUUUAAGAGAUCCUCUCACCACAGAUUUCCAAAGUGCUGGGAUUGCAGGUGUGAUUCAUGGCACCCAGACUUUGCUGCCUUUCUUACAUGAUCCAGGCCCAGAACCCAAACUCAGGCACUGUAUAGAUGACCACUUUCGUAAACUACUGACCUAGCUUGUUGCCAAUUGUUGAUUGAACUUCCCAUAACUCCACUUCGUGUCUGUUCCUCUGUAUACAGCCACCUUCUGUUCCCGUCAUGAGCCUUUAGGUCU